CAAAGUAAAGCUUUGUAGUUUAAGCGUCUCACUUACGUUGAGAAGAUUUAUCGUGCAAGUCGAUUAUAUUUUGA
rnacentral:tRNA from 1 species